UACAGAGGUCUCAAGCGUUGUUCGGAUUCAUUGGGCGUAAGGGUGCGUAGGCGGCGCGGUAAGUCGGGUGUGAAAUCUCGGAGCUUAACUCCGAAACUGCAUUCGAUACUGCCGUGCUUGAGGACUGGAGAGGAGACUGGAAUUUACGGUGUAGCGGUGAAAUGCGUAGAUAUCGUAAGGAAGACCAGUGGCGAAGGCGGGGUCUCUGGACAGUUCCUGACGCUGAGGCACGAAGGUCAGGGGAGCAAACGGG
rnacentral:rRNA from 1 species